rnacentral:rRNA from 1 species
AAAAGAGGAGUGGCGAACGGGUGAGUAACACGUGGGUAACCUGCCCAUCAGAAGGGGAUAACACUUGGAAACAGGUGCUAAUACCGUAUAACAAUCGAAACCGCAUGGUUUUGAUUUGAAAGGCGCUUUCGGGUGUCGCUGAUGGAUGGACCCGCGGUGCAUUAGCUAGUUGGUGAGGUAACGGCUCACCAAGGCCACGAUGCAUAGCCGACCUGAGAGGGUGAUCGGCCACAUUGGGACUGAGACACGGCCCAAACUCCUACGGGAGGCAGCAGUAGGGAAUCUUCGGCAAUGGACGAAAGUCUGACCGAGCAACGCCGCGUGAGUGAAGAAGGUUUUCGGAUCGUAAAACUCUGUUGUUAGAGGAGAACAAGGAUGAGAGUAACUGUUCAUCCCUUGACGGUAUCUAACCAGAAAGCCACGGCUAACUACGUGCCAGCAGCCGCGGUAAUACGUAGGUGGCAAGCGUUGUCCGGAUUUAUUGGGCGUAAAGCGAGCGCAGGCGGUUUCUUAAGUCUGAUGUGAAAGCCCCCGGCUCAACCGGGGAGGGUCAUUGGAAACUGGGAGACUUGAGUGCAGAAGAGGAGAGUGGAAUUCCACUGUGUAGCGGUGAAAUGCGUAGAUA